UCUGCUCAAUGAUUUUUUAAAUUGCUGUGGUAUUUUGACUAUACAAAGGUAUUGAAAUAAGAUUUUAAUUGAAUGCUAAGAGAAUGGAAUUUCAGGAAAAAGCUUUUUUUAAGUUAAUAAUUAAAUUUUUUUUAAUUUGUGCAUAAACAAUUAUUAAUAUUAAGGACAAGAAGACCCUAUGAAUUUAUCAAAAUUACAUUAAUGUGUAAUUACCAUUAAUUAAUUUUUGGCUGGGGCGGCAAGAAAACAUUAAAAACUUUUUGAAAAUAAAAUGAUCCAUUAUUAAUGAUUAUAUGUAAAAUACUCUAGGGAUAACAGCGUAAA
rnacentral:rRNA from 1 species